AAGGUAUUAGUAAAACAAUUACAUAACUUUGUCAAAGUUAAAUUACAGACCCCCCCCUCAAUUCUGUAUAUCUUAA
rnacentral:tRNA from 1 species